rnacentral:rRNA from 1 species
GAACGCUAGCUACAGGCUUAACACAUGCAAGUCGAGGGGCAGCAUGGUCUUAGCUUGCUAAGGCCGAUGGCGACCGGCGCACGGGUGAGUAACACGUAUCCAACCUGCCGUCUACUCUUGGACAGCCUUCUGAAAGGAAGAUUAAUACAAGAUGGCAUCAUGAGUCCGCAUGUUCACAUGAUUAAAGGUAUUCCGGUAGACGAUGGGGAUGCGUUCCAUUAGAUAGUAGGCGGGGUAACGGCCCACCUAGUCUUCGAUGGAUAGGGGUUCUGAGAGGAAGGUCCCCCACAUUGGAACUGAGACACGGUCCAAACUCCUACGGGAGGCAGCAGUGAGGAAUAUUGGUCAAUGGGCGAGAGCCUGAACCAGCCAAGUAGCGUGAAGGAUGACUGCCCUAUGGGUUGUAAACUUCUUUUAUAAAGGAACAAAGUCGGGUAUGGAUACCCGUUUGCAUGUACUUUAUGAAUAAGGAUCGGCUAACUCCGUG